UCAUAUUUCAAAUCAAGAUUUUCUUCCAUUUUGUUAAGGGGGUGGGUUGAAAGAUAAAUGUGGUAGCACCUCCUUUCACCAUCUCACCCUUCUCUCCUUGCAAGAAGCCAGACAACAUUUUUUCUGGCGAUUGGGGAAGAACUUCUACCAUUUCCCAAGUAUUCUCCUGCAGGUUUACAUAUAUACUUUUCUUGUCAAAAUCUUCUGAUUUCAAACGUUUUCUUUCGUUUAUUCUAUGUGUUUGUUUUUUCUAAUCGAUUUUGAAUAUUUGAUAAUGAGUUUAACACAAUGCUUGCAUCAUUGCCAUCCUCCGAUCGCUUUAUAUAUCUCAGCCAUCGAAUUGUUUGAUGAAUGACACUACGGAAAAAGUCAUGAAUCGGUAUAAUUUUGAUGAUCGUGUGUUAGUAAACACGCAGAAAGUCGAGAAUCAUCCCUAAUCAUUUCAGUAUGCGUUCUAUGUGAAUAAACAUGCCAGAAAAGUGUAUGUAUCGUUGGAAAUCUAGUAUCUUAAGAACCUUUUCUCUUUAAACAUAUCGUUGUUGGACUCAAAAUCUCGAGUGCAUGGGUGAAUACAUGUAUAAUAACGGUCGUUAUUUUUCUUUUUGGUUGACGCUUGACAGAAAAAUAUGGCUGAAAAGGUGGAGCAAAAUCCCCGAACCCCAAGGACGAUCAAGUGCAAGGGUCAAAACCUAACCAUACCAGAAUUUACCAUAGAGGAUUUGAGGAAGCAUAAUCACAUGCUUGGUUCACCAACAUCACAAGGAGGUACUCCAAAAUCAGCAAGGUGGAAGAACUGCCUCUGCUCCCCAACCACCCAUGUUGGCUCAUUCCGCUGCAGACACCACCGAACUUCAAGUUUCGGCUCGGGCCUCAGCCGUGUAGGGAGCUCCGUCGGCUCCAACCUCUCGGAGCUCGAGAACCGAAAAGUAGAGCCUAGUCCCCUUAAUGACUCAGUCCCUGCUCAGUAACUUCUUCUGAUCAUAUGGAAAAAUGUUGAGUUGAGUGAAUAUUUGGCAUGCAUGCGUGUAGCUUCUUCAACAUAAGAAAAAUAAUAUAUAUAAUAUAUACUGUCAACACCAAAACGAAGAUCCUGAUGAAUUUUGGGUAUCAAGAAAAGCCGAACUUACAUGUGAUGAGUGUUGUAUAAAUUU
rnacentral:lncRNA from 1 species